CAGUCGCAGUACUGCUUUAAAGGCAACUGAAUAUAUCUAAUUUCAGGGAAUGUUGCUAGAAAUGAACUAUUGGCUAAAAGAAGCCAAUGAUCUAGUCAGUGUCCUAUCCCUAGGUAUUGUGGAAAAUCGAAUUGUGCAUGCGCAGGUGAAUGAUCUCACAAUAUCAUCUGGUGAAUUAUAUGAGUUAGACAUGGUAAACAUAGCGAUGAAGAAUCAAGUAAAUAUGACAAAAAAAUCAUACUUACCUGCUUUUUCCACCUGUAUUAUGUCUGAUUCAAAGCCUUUCAAUGAGACAGUUGUAUCAAAAGGAUGCAUGUCCCUUUAAAGCAACUCUAUCACGGUCGGUGAUCUUUGCAUUAUUAGUAAAGACCUCCCUAGUUACUACGCUACGGUAACUUCUCCCCAGGACUGCUCUUUAUAAACA